rnacentral:rRNA from 1 species
GACGAACGCUGGCGGCGUGCCUAACACAUGCAAGUCGAACGGAACUGUUUUGAAAGAUUUCUUCGGAAUGAAUUUGAUUUAGUUUAGUGGCGGACGGGUGAGUAACGCGUGAGUAACCUGCCUUCAAGAGGGGAAUAACAUUCUGAAAAGAAUGCUAAUACCGCAUGACAUAUCGGAACCACAUGGUUUUGAUAUCAAAGAUUUUAUCGCUUGAAGAUGGACUCGCGUCCGAUUAGUUAGUUGGCGAGGUAACGGCUCACCAAGACCGCGAUCGGUAGCCGGACUGAGAGGUUGAACGGCCACAUUGGGACUGAGACACGGCCCAGACUCCUACGGGAGGCAGCAGUGGGGGAUAUUGCGCAAUGGGGGCAACCCUGACGCAGCAACGCCGCGUGAAGGAUGAAGGUUUUCGGAUUGUAAACUUCUUUUAUUAAGGACGAAAAAUGACGGUACUUAAUGAAUAAGCUCCGGCUAACUACGUG